AUGUCCGCCGCCUCGACGAUCUUGCCGCUGCUGUUCUUGGUGAGGCAGCCCAUGAAGCCGAUGUCGGCCACCUGCACCUGCGCGCAGCUGUUGGGGCACCCCGUCCAGUGCAUGCGCACCGCCCUGGGCACGGACACGCGCGCCUCCACGUCGCGCGUCACCUGCAGCGCCCGCGCCUUGGUCUCGAUGAUGGCCUGCCCGCAGAACUGGUUGCCCGUGCACGCCACCAGCCCCUUCAUCAGCAGCGACGGGUGCGCCGAGAACUUCUGCAGCAGCGGCUCGGCGAGCAGAGCUUCCACCUUCUCGUUCUUGACGUUGGGGAGGACGAUGUUCUGCUCCACGGUGAGGCGGAGCUCGCCGGAGCCGUACUCGUCGGCGAGGCGGGCCAGCUCGAACAUGUCGGCGGCCUGCAGCCGGCCGACGGGCACGUGCAGGCCCACGAAGGAGAGCCCCUCCUGCUUCUGCGGGUGCACGCCGAGGUAG
rnacentral:rRNA from 1 species